UCCCUCUAGUUUACAUUUCUACCUAUUUAUUUUUCAGCAGAAUAUGGCUUCUUUGACCUAUCCAGAGAGCAAAAGGAGCUAAAAUUCCAAUCCCCACCUUUACUCACUCCUUAGUCUACUAAAACGAUGACCACAAAGUCCCGGGCUGCCCUGGCCUGCGUCCCUCACUGUAUGGUUCUGUUCCACUAUUAGAAGACUGGGCUCUGGGCUGGAGAAACGGCUCAGUGGUUAAGAGCACUUGCUACUUUUGCAGAGGACUAAAUUCCCUUAACCCACAUGGUACUUAACAACCAGCUGUAACUCCAGCUCCAGAGGACCCAGUGCCCUCUUCUGGCCUCCUCUGGCACCCACACAUACACAUAAUAAAAAUAAAUAAAAUUGAAUUCUGACCAAUAAUCAUCUCGCCAAUUUGAAUA
rnacentral:lncRNA from 1 species